CUAAAAGUAUAACAUGUCAGGUCCUUUAAUUUUUUCCACCUUUCCGUCUUCUUUUUCUACAUAUUCUCAUUGUUUCUCUCUCCAAAACCACUUCUUUCUUCCAUCUCUUUGUCUUCUUUCUUAUUUGAUUCUUCUCUCCUCUUUUUAUUUGUCUUUCUUUCUCUCUUCUCUCUUCUUUGAUUCUUCUUUAUUUUUCUGCAGCGUUGGUUUUUAUUUUUCAGCUUUGCUACAGGUACCCGGCGUUGGAUACCUUUGGGAGAACCGCACGUCAAUCGAUAUAUUUAAAAAAAAAAAGAAAUACAAACAGAGUUUAUACAAAUGAAACCAACUGAAGAAGAGAAAGGAUCGAGUGCCGUCUGGGAGAGAGAAAGCGCUGGCUGUCUGAGAGAGAGAGCACCUGCAGUUUGAGAAGAACAGAUCUAUUCACUUUAUUUUUUUGUUUUAAUAGGUCUAGAUGCUUUCUAAAUCUGUUUAUUUUGGAAGUCGGAGUUCUUGCCUUUAGCAACAUUUUCUGUGCCUCAGGUGCAACAUUUCCGUUUGGGCUUUGUGCUUUGAAAGAGAAUGCAUUGAUAUUGAACUUGGGUGGCACUUUCCUUUGGCUGCUCUGUUUCGGGGACAAAAAACAGGGCCACUUGUAUCAGUGGAAGGAGCAGCACAUUGAUUAGGCUAUUUUCAUGGUGUUUCCGAUGUGAGGCAAUGCCUUGAGAGAUGGCUGGAGGAAGGCUUGACGUUGGUGCUGGCUAAGAAAGAAACCAAGAAGGAGAGAGUGAUGAGAGGAAGAUCAAAUGCAGAGGGAGAGAAUGACCGAGAGUGAGCAGGUGUCAAGGAGAAGAUGAGAAGACGAAGUCGAGAAAAAGAUGAGAAGACGAACCUGUAUUCGUGGGUAGACGAAGGGAGAAGCAGAGUUUUUGACAAAGGGAAGGGAAGGAACAGCAAAGACUCAGUGAUUUUGGUCAUUUGGUGUAUAUGAAACAUUGCAUUUCAUUUAUGAGAGAGAUGGGUACGCGGGGGUUUCCCUGCCGGGUGCAAAUGGACCUUUUUUUUUUUUUUUCAGGUCUAUCUGCUUCCGGUCAAGAUCACUCUCUCAUUUUUCUUGCUAAUGAUUUGUAAUCCCACAGCUUUACUAAUUCGUUCGCUUCGAAGAUCAAAUAGCCCAAAGUUGAGAUCCAGGACCUUAGUCAGUUGUCUACUCUUUAUUUUCAAUCUUUAGCACUUUUUUUUGGUUUUCUUUGUAAUUUCUUCCAUCUUGUUUGGUCAGAGAUAACUGAGACAGAAAAGAGAAAUAUCAAUUGUUUUACUAAGUAUGCACAGGUUCUUUUGUUAUGGAUAUAGCACUGGGAAAUGGUGGACUUCCAAAGGUAUCUCCUCUGUUCCAUGAAAGUUUAUUGAGAUCGACAUUUUCCAAUAUAAUAAAACUCUUCUUUCAUGAAAUGUAAACAAAUUGUUUUGCUUAUUAAGAAAUGGUUUUGUAAUUUUGAUGUUUAUUUCCCCACCGUCAACUCCUCAAAUCCGAUGAUGUCUCUUUCA